UACCUCCUGAACAAGACCAGGUUUCC
rnacentral:piRNA from 1 species